GCCGGGGUAGCUCAGCUGGUUAGAGCGCCGGACUCAUAAUCCGGAGGUCGCGGGUUCGAAUCCCGCCCCCGGCACCA
rnacentral:tRNA from 1 species